GGGAAAGGCUGUCCCGCUGGCCUUCGGUGUUGCUGAACGGGAGGGGUGGCCAAUGCUUUCUCUUUCCGCUGACUCACGGAUGGUGGCAAAUGCCUUCUGGGGGUGGUUCCAGCAGUGGGAAGAAAACAACUGGCAGCGGAGGGGUAAACCUCUUUGGGCUGCUGAGCUGUGUGCUGAACCAUAAGGAAGGUGGCUGUAAAGGUGUGCCGUGCAGAUGUCGUGUGCCCAGCAGUCGGGCCGAUGAAGAGCAACAAAUGAAGCGCCAGUGGCUCAGAUGGCUUCUCGCCUCCUGGGUGCCCUUGCCUCUUUCCUUGCCAUGGCCUUGAGGCUUUUCCUCAGCUGGCUGGCUGAUCCGUCC
ensembl:lncRNA